AGAAGAUGUUCAUGGUUUGACUUUCUACUCUGUGUUUUUGUGCUCGAGUCGUGUCAAUAUAAAUAUAAUAGAUCAGGAUUCUUCUACACAACAGAUGAUGUGAAUGUUUCUGCACUUCACUCAUUUAUUCAAGAUGUUUAUCUUAAUGAGAGAAAUAAAUGCUCGGAAGAACGAGAGAAAGUGAGAAAAUGACCAAAGAUCAACGAGUCAAUGAAGAAUCAAACAGUUUCAUGUUUCUUCGUCAAAGCAGCACAAAUAGUGGCCGACCAAACAUGUCUGCUGAUCUCAGACCUGUACAAACACAAUCUUAUGUAUCACAGACUGUUAAACAUGAGGUGAGAUAUUCACAGAUCAUCUACAGAAACUAAACGCUCAAAAUAAAUGUUCAAAUGUUCAAUUAAUACAUUUUCUUUUUCUUUAGAAAAGCACAUCAAGAUCUCUUCUGGAAGACUGUCUGAGACACGUUCAACUCAACUUUCAGCAUUUACGAUUGAAAAUGAAGCAAAACUUCAAAUAAUCUCUCAAAAUCUAAAAACUGUUCAACAAUAGUUCAACAUCAAUCCUGUUGUAGGGAAUGAAGGUCACAAAUGAUCAUUUCUGGACUAAAAAGAUGCUGAAAACAAAAACUUUGAGAACAAAGACUUUAAAUGUUGUUUUAAAAUAUACUUUGUGCUUUUAUUGUUGAUUCUGUACAUUGAAAUGACUGUAUAUAAAUAAAUAUAUUAAUAACAGGCAAUGACCAAAAAUAAAAACAACUA